UACGGGGGGGGCAAGCGUUGUUCGGAAUUACUGGGCGUAAAGCGUGCGCAGGCGGCUUCUCAAGUCAGGGGUGAAAGCCCAGAGCUCAACUCUGGAAUUGCCUUUGAGACUGAGUGGCUUGAGUACGAGAGAGGUGAGUGGAAUUCCCAGUGUAGAGGUGAAAUUCGUAGAUAUUGGGAAGAACACCGGUGGCGAAGGCGGCUCACUGGCUCGUAACUGACGCUCAUGCACGACAGCGUGGGGAUCAAACAGG
rnacentral:rRNA from 1 species